rnacentral:rRNA from 1 species
ACUCUCAGCAACGGAUAUCUUGGCUCCUGCAACGAUGAAGAACGCAGCGAAAUGCGAUACGUAGUGUGAAUUGCAGAAUUCCGUGAAUCAUCGAGUUUUUGAACGCAAGUUGCGCCCGAGGCUUGUCCGAGGGCAUUUCCGCUAGAGCGUCA